UAAGAAAGGGGCUAGCGUUGUUCGGAUUUACUGGGCGUAAAGCGCACGUAGGCGGCCUAGCAAGUUGGGGGUGAAAGCCCAGAGCUCAACUCUGGAAUUGCCUUCAAUACUGCUAAGCUGGAGCCGGUGAGAGGCGUGUGGAAUUGCGAGUGUAGAGGUGAAAUUCGUAGAUAUUCGCAGGAACACCAGUGGCGAAGGCGACUCGCUGGGACUUUGCUGACGCUGAGAUGCGAAAGCGUGGGGAGCAAACAGG
rnacentral:rRNA from 1 species